UACGUAGGGUGCGAGCGUUGUCCGGAAUUAUUGGGCGUAAGAGCUCGUAGGCGGCUGCCGCGUCGGAUGUGAAAGCCCGGGCUUAACCCCGGGUCUGCAUUCGAUACGGGCAGGCUAGAGUUCGGUGAGGGAGAUCGGAAUUCCUGGUGUAGCGGUGGAAAUGCGCAGAUAUCAGGAGGAACACCGGUGGCGAAGGCGGUCUCUGGGCAUUACCUGACGCUGAGGAGCGAAGUGUGGGGAGCGAACAGG
rnacentral:rRNA from 1 species